ACUCCUACGGGGAGGCAGCAGUAGGGAAUCUUCCACAAUGGACGAAAGUCUGAUGGAGCAACGCCGCGUGAGUGAAGAAGGGUUUCGGCUCGUAAAACUCUGUUGUUAAAAGAAGAACAUAUCUGAGAGUAACUGUUCAGGUAUUGACGGUAUUUAACCAGAAAGCCACGGCUAACUACGUGCCAGCAGCCGCGGUAAUACGUAGGUGGCAAGCGUUGUCCGGAUUUAUUGGGGCGUAAAGCGAGCGCAGGGUCGGUUUUUAAAGUCUGAUGUGAAAGCCUUCGGCUCAACCGAAGAAGUGCAUCGGAAACUGGGAAACUUGAGUGCAGAAGAGGACAGUGGAACUCCAUGUGUAGCGGUGAAAUGCGUAGAUAUAUGGAAGAACACCAGUGGCGAAGGCGGCUGUCUGGUCUGUAACUGACGCUGAGGCUCGAAAGUAUGGGUAGCAAACAGGAUUAGAUACCCCUGGUAGGAUACCCC
rnacentral:rRNA from 1 species